AACAAGAGAACUGUGAUUACUCGUAUAAAUCCCUAAUAUGGGGGGAUGUUUCUACUGGAAACCUAAAAUUUCUAAACUAUGGGUAAAAUUAAUUGUAUA
rfam:Clostridium sp. CAG:221 genomic scaffold, scf115